rnacentral:rRNA from 1 species
GAGCGCUAGAGGGGGGCGACCCCCAAUGGAGCAGCGAACGGGUGAGUAACGCGUGGGUGAUCUUCCUUCGAGUGGGGAACAACAUCGGGAAACUGGUGCUAAUUCCGCAUAACAUCUCGAGACCAAGUGUCCUGAGAUCAAAGCCGGGGACCGCAAGGCCUGGCGCUUGAAGAUGAGCCCGCGUUCGAUUAGCUAGUUGGCGGGGUAAUGGCCCACCAAGGCUUCGAUCGAUAGCCGGCCUGAGAGGGCGGACGGCCACACUGGAACUGAGACACGGUCCAGACUCCUACGGGAGGCAGCAGUGGGGAAUUUUUCGCAAUGGGCGCAAGCCUGACGAAGCAACGCCGCGUGGAGGAUGAAGGUCUUCGGAUUGUAAACUCCUGUCGACCGGGACGAAUGCACCCGACCUAAUACGUCGGAGUGUUGACGGUACCGGUAAAGGAAGCCACGGCUAACUCUGUGCCAGCAGCCGCGGUAAUACAGAGGUGGCAAGCGUUGUUCGGAAUUACUGGGCGUAAAGGGCGCGUAGGCGGCCUUGUAAGUCUCGUGUGAAAGCCCUCGGCUUAACUGAGGAUCUGCACGGGAUACUGCGAGGCUUGAGUUCGGGAGAGGAAAGCGGAAUUCCGGGUGUAGCGGUGAAAUGCGUAGAUAUCCGGAGGAACACCAGUGGCGAAGGCGGCUUUCUGGACCGACACUGACGCUGAGGCGCGAAAGCUAGGGGAGCAAACGGGAUUAGAUACCCCGGUAGUCCUAGCUGUAAACGAUGAUCGCUGGGUGUGGGGGGUUUUUACUCCCUCCGUG